AUUGAACGCUGGCGGCGGGCUUAACACAUGCAAGUCGAGCGGGGUGAUGGUGCUUGCACUAUCACUUAGCGGCGGACGGGUGAGUAAUGCUUAGGAAUCUGCCUAUUAGUGGGGGACAACAUCUCGAAAGGGAUGCUAAUACCGCAUACGUCCUACGGGAGAAAGCAGGGGAUCACUUGUGACCUUGCGCUAAUAGAUGAGCAUAAGUCGGAUUAGAUAGUUGGUGGGGUAAAGGCCUACCAAGGCGACGAUCUGUAGCGGGUCUGAGAGGAUGAUCCGCCACACUGGGACUGAGACACGGCCCAGACUCCUACGGGAGGCAGCAGUGGGGAAUAUUGGACAAUGGGGGGAACCCUGAUCCAGCCAUGCCGCGUGUGUGAAGAAGGCCUUAUGGUUGUAAAGCACUUUAAGCGAGGAGGAGGCUCUUUUGGUUAAUACCCAAGAUGAGUGGACGUUACUCGCAGAAUAAGCACCGGCUAACUCUGUGCCAGCCGCCGCAGUAA
rnacentral:rRNA from 1 species